GUUGGAUCUAUCACCACUUCGUCGAUGCAGCGUGAGAGUGUAUCCGCCACGACGUUGUCGACUCCUUUCCGGUGUUCGAUUCCAAAGUCAAACCUCUGCAGUCGCAAUGACCACCUCGCAAGACGUCCGUUUAGAUCCUUCAAUGACAUGAGCCAUUUCAGGCUGGCGUGAUCCGUAAUAACCGUGAAGGGCAUCAAUUCAACGUACGGUCUGAAUUUUUCAAUGGCCAACACCGCAGCUAAACACUCUUUUUCCGUUACUUGUUUAUGCUUGUUUAACUUGGCGGAGAAGAAUGCCACCGGACGCUCGGCUCCUUCGACGUCCAACUGAAACAACACCGCUCCCACUCCGUAAUUCGAUGCGUCGCACUGUACAUAGAAAGGCUUCUUGAAAUCAGCAUGACUUAAUACCGGAGCCGUGGUGAGUGCCUUCUUCAGGAAUCCUAUCGCCGUCUCGGCCUCCGUGGACAGGGAAAACUUUCCACGCUGAUGCUUCUUCAGCGCGUCUGUUAGCGGCACAGCAAUGGAAGCGUAAUCCUUGAUGAAGCGCCUAUACCAUCCUGCGG
rnacentral:lncRNA from 1 species